AGUGAACGCUGGCGGUAGGCCUAACACAUGCAAGUCGAGCGGCAGCACAGUAAGAGCUUGCUCUUACGGGUGGCGAGUGGCGGACGGGUGAGGAAUACAUCGGAAUCUACUUUUUCGUGGGGGAUAACGUAGGGACACUUACGCUAAUACCGCAUACGACGUACGGGUGAAAGCAGGGGAUCUUCGGCUCUUGCGCGAUUCAAUGAGCCGAUGUCGGAUUAGCUAGUUGGCGGGGUAAAGGCCCACCAAGGCGACGAUCCGUAGCUGGUCUGAGAGGAUGAUCAGCCACACUGGAACUGAGACACGGUCCAGACUCCUACGGGAGGCAGCAGUGGGGAAUAUUGGACAAUGGGCGCAAGCCUGAUCCAGCCAUGCCGCGUGGGUGAAGAAGGCCUUCGGGUUGUAAAGCCCUUUUGUUGGGAAAGAAAAGCAGCAGGUUAAUACCCCGCUGUUCUGACGGUACCAAAAGAAUAAGCACCGGCUAACUUCGUG
rnacentral:rRNA from 1 species